GUUAAUUGGGGGAGAGGGAGCACACUCUAGGAAGAUGUGCAAGUGCCUACCAUUAACUACAGGAAAUGCAGCUUUUGAAGAAUGGGCCAAAAUACGGAGCGACGCUAUGGCGCAUCGUCUUCUACGCGUCUAGAGUCUAGACUCUGGAGAUGCCAAUAAAAACAGCACCUGGCUCUGACCUCUGCAUCCCAAUCCCCUCCACACCUGACCAAGAUUUGCAGGUCGCAGCGAUGCCGGCCUCUCCCCCCAGCGGCGGUAGCCGCCGCAAGAAACCUGCUGCUGCGGCCUUGCCGCCGGCACCCGCGUCCAUGGCGGAGAGGGACUGGGCGGCGCUGCCCGGAGACAUCCUAUUCGCCAUCUUCCUCAGGCUAGGGCAUCGCGAGAUCAUGGAGGGCGCGGGUCGCGCCUGCUCAGCGUGGCGGCGCGUGUCUGUCGGCGAGCCCAAGCCCAAGCUCUGGCGCUGCGUCGAACAUGGGCACGGUCCGGUGGAAGCCGUGGCGGGCGAUGGCGCGUGUCGCCGUGAACCGUGCCGCUGGCCAGUGCGAUCACUUCUCGGGUCCCUGCGAUGAUGACUUCCUACUCUAUUUGGUUGAGAGAGCACCUUCUUUGAAAAUCUUGCAUGUCUCAGAUGACGAUGUAUCCAAAGUAGCAUUGGAUGUGACACUACUCAAAAAGCUUCCUCUUCUUGAAGAUGUCGAUAUUUCACUCUUGUUUUUUAGUGAUGGUGCCUCAGGGGAUGUUUGAAGCUAUAUGUGAAGCUUGUCCCCGUCUCAAGAAACUGAAAAUGAGCUUUGAUGGACGCCUAGACAGCAAUUAUUAUGAUGACCCUCAUGGCCAUUAUUUAUCAUGAAGAAACAUAUGUGAUUCCAGUGAUGUCUGAGUUACGCUAUCUAGAAUUGUUGCGCUAUAACCUCACUGCUGCAGGACUGACAGCCAUCAUCGAUGGUUGUCCUCUCCUGGAAUCUCUCAAUGUUACUGGCGGUUACAUCAUUCACAUGAUGGAUCAGGAGCUGCGUGCAAAAUGUGCUAGGGUGAAAAAUCUGAGUCUUCCUUGCGAUUCGGAUGAAGACUCUUAUGAAGAAUAUGGUCCGCAAGAAGGCUAUGAGUCGGACUACAUGUAUGACGAAUUUUCUUACCAAGUAUGUUUGGGAGGACGUUGAUGAACCUGAGUAUUAUUUUGGAUAUUACCUUUCAUUACUCUAUGAUGAUCAAUUCAACUUUAUGGUUUCAUAUGCA